GUCUCCCCCUCCGCCGGUCUAUGAGUACAAAUCGCCGCCCCCCCCUCCGCCGGUUUACAAGUACAAAUCGCCGCCACCUCCUCCGCCUUACUACUACAAAUCUCCGCCUCCGCCUCCUCCCUACAAGUAUGAAUCGCCGCCUCCGCCUCCCUACAAGUACGAGUCGCCGCCUCCACCACCGUACUACUACAAAUCACCUCCGCCGCCCCCAUACAAGUAUGAAUCGCCGCCGCCACCACCAUACAAGUAUGAAUCGCCGCCGCCACCACCAUACAAGUAUGAAUCGCCUCCUCCACCACCAUAUAAGUACGAAUCGCCACCGCCACCACCAUACAAGUACGAGUCGCCUCCUCCACCUCCGUACAAGUAUGAAUCGCCUCCUCCCCCACCAUACUACUACAAAUCACCACCACCACCUCCUUACAAGUAUGAAUCUCCCCCUCCACCUCCAUAUUACUACAAAUCUCCACCCCCGCCACCACCUUACUACUACAAAUCACCACCACCACCUUCUCCUGUCUACAAAUAUAAAUCUCCACCACCACCACCUUACAAGUACGAAUCUCCUCCUCCACCUCCAUACUAUUACAAGUCUCCACCACCACCGCCGUAUUACUACAAGUCUCCACCACCACCACCUCCAGUUUACAAAUACAAAUCUCCUCCUCCGCCACCAUAUUACUACAAAUCACCACCUCCUCCAUCACCAGUAUAUUACUACAAAUCUCCUCCUCCACCAGCGUAUUACUACAAAUCUCCCCCACCGCCUGUCUACUAUUACAAAUCCCCGCCACCUCCAGCUUACCACUACCAAUCGCCACCCCCACCAAGUUACAAGCUGGUAGUGGUCACGGGCAAGGUCUAUUGCAACAGAUGCUGGAACACCACAAGCAGAUACCUUCAGGCAUCACCACAUGGGUCUGCUAGGUACAUUCUCAAUUGCAUUGUAUUCGAUAUUGUUCUCCUCACUCAUUUCCUCUUGAUACUGUGUGCAAUAAUGCAGGUGGCAAAGUGAAGAUCACAUGUGGCGAAUCUUACUACUACGGCUACACCAACAAGCAUGGAAUCUUUAGAAUUGAGCUCCCGCACCAAUCCUGGGAAGAAGCAAGCAGCUGCAAGGCCAAGAUUAUCAAGAGCAGCUACAUCAAGUCGUCAUGCAAUGUCAUCACGGACUACAGGUCUGGUGCAACAGGGGCCAAGCUCAAGUUCAAAUCGAAAACAGAGAAGGAGCUCGUCUUGACAGCCGGUCCUUUCAUCUAUGCAACUCCAGAGCCAUCGUCAGUCUGCUUCUACACAUCACCUCCCUAUGAGUACAAGUCACCUCCGCCACCAACACCGGUCUACCAUUACGCCUCUCCGCCACCUCCGGUCUACUACUACAAAUCGCCACCUCCUCCUUCACCGGUUUACUACUACAAAUCCCCUCCUCCUCCUUCGCCGGUCUACUAUUACAAAUCCCCGCCUCCACCACCAUACUAUUACAAGUCCCCACCUCCACCUCCGCCUAAGUAUUACUACAAGUCGCCCCCACCACCGUCUCCAUACUAUUACAAAUCCCCGCCCCCUCCACCGUACUAUUACAAAUCCCCACCACCACCUCCCUACAAAUACGAAUCGCCGCCGCCUCCUCCUUACAAAUACGAGUCCCCACCUCCACCACCUUACUAUUACAAGUCCCCACCACCACCUCCAUACAAAUAUGAAUCCCCGCCACCUCCAGUCUACAAAUAUGAGUCUCCGCCACCCCCAGUUUACAAAUACAAGUCGCCACCACCACCAUACAAGUACGAGUCACCACCACCACCUCCAUACAAGUAUGAAUCCCCGCCACCUCCACCUUAUUACUACAAGUCCCCUCCACCACCACCAUACAAGUACGAGUCGCCACCACCUCCUCCGUACAAGUAUGAAUCUCCACCACCACCAGUUUACAAAUACAAGUCACCUCCGCCGCCACCUUAUUACUACAAAUCCCCACCGCCACCUCCAUACAAGUACGAGUCUCCACCUCCUCCUCCGUACAAGUAUGAAUCUCCACCACCACCACCUUAUUACUACAAAUCCCCCCCGCCACCUCCAUACAAGUACGAGUCACCGCCUCCUCCUCCGUACAAGUAUGAAUCUCCACCACCGCCAGUUUACAAAUACAAGUCACCCCCGCCACCACCUUAUUACUACAAAUCCCCGCCACCACCUCCAUACAAGUACGAGUCUCCACCUCCUCCUCCGUACAAGUAUGAAUCUCCACCACCACCUCCUUAUUACUACAAAUCCCCGCCGCCACCUCCCUACAAGUAUGAAUCCCCGCCACCACCUCCCUACAAAUACGAGUCACCUCCACCACCACCUUACUAUUACAAAUCUCCUCCACCGCCUCCAUACAAGUAUGAGUCGCCACCACCACCAGUCUACAAAUACGAGUCUCCGCCACCCCCAGUUUACAAAUACAAGUCGCCCCCUCCACCUUAUUACUACAAGUCUCCGCCACCCCCGCCAUACAAAUAUGAAUCCCCACCUCCACCUCCCUACAAGUAUGAAUCGCCUCCUCCUCCACCUUACUACUACAAGUCCCCUCCACCACCUCCCUACAAAUAUGAAUCCCCGCCACCACCUCCCUAUAAAUACGAGUCACCACCACCACCACCUUACUAUUACAAAUCUCCUCCACCGCCUCCAUACAAGUAUGAGUCGCCACCACCACCUCCCUACAAAUACGAGUCACCACCACCACCACCUUACAAGUAUGAAUCCCCACCUCCACCUCCGUACAAGUAUGAAUCACCUCCACCGCCUCCAUACAAGUAUGAAUCCCCUCCUCCACCUCCCUACAAAUACGAGUCACCACCCCCACCACCUUAUUACUACAAAUCGCCUCCGCCACCGGAGUAUCAAUCAC
rnacentral:lncRNA from 1 species